rnacentral:rRNA from 1 species
UACGGAGGGUGCGAGCGUUGUCCGGAAUCACUGGGCGUAAAGGGCGCGUAGGCGGCGCGGGGAGUCAACGGUGAAAGCUCGGCGCUCAACGCCGAGUCGGCCGUCGAUACUCCCGUGCUCGAGCACUGUAGAGGCAGGUGGAAUUCCGGGUGUAGCGGUGGAAUGCGUAGAGAUCCGGAAGAACACCGGUGGCGAAGGCGGUCGCUGGGCA